CCCGCCCGGGCAGCUGUCACAGGCGGCGGCGGCGGUGGCCGGUCCCGCAGGCGGGCGCAGGGGCGGCCCGGGAUGCGGCGCUGAGCGCGGAGCGGCCGGUCACUCCGCGCGGGCUCCUGCGCGCCGCGGUUGCCCUCCCCGCAGCCCAUGAUGUGCCUGGAAAGCGACGGCUCCUCCGGCAGCAGCCCGGGCUGCGGCGGGCGGCUCCGAGCCGGCGAUGAGGAGGAGGAGGAAGACGGCGAGCGGGGCUGCUGCGGCCGGGGCGCUGAGGGCGAGGUGCAGACCCUGUCGGGCAGGAUGAACCCGCCGGCGGCCGGCAAGCACCCCGAGCGCCCGGCCGCCCGCCACAAGGCGCCGAGCCUCGGCCGCGCCCGGGUGGCCGCCGCCGGCAUCCUCAGCGUGGGCAACGUGCUCAACUACCUGGACCGGUACACGGUGGCAGGUGUGUUACUAGACAUCCAGCAACACUUCGGCGUCAAAGACAGCGGGGCUGGCUUAUUGCAGACAGUUUUCAUCUGUAGUUUCAUGGUUGCAGCACCCAUCUUUGGUUACCUUGGUGACCGUUUCAACAGAAAGAUCAUUCUCAGCUGUGGGAUCUUCUUUUGGUCAGCUGUCACUUUUUCAAGCUCCUUCAUCACUGAACAGUAUUUCUGGCUGCUUGUGCUCUCACGAGGCCUGGUUGGCAUCGGCGAAGCAAGUUACUCCACUAUUGCACCAACCAUCAUAGGAGACCUUUUCACCAAAAACACGAGGACCCUGAUGCUGUCUGUUUUCUACUUCGCAAUUCCUCUUGGCAGUGGCUUGGGAUACAUCACCGGCUCAAGCGUGAAGCAGGUUGCUGGAGACUGGCACUGGGCGUUGCGGGUAUCUCCACUCCUGGGAAUGAUAACAGGGACACUCAUCUUGAUAUUUGUGCCUGCUGCUAAAAGAGGAAAUGUUGAACAACUUGGGGGACAGCUGAAGGCACGCACCUCAUGGCUAAGGGACAUGAAAGCCCUGAUUAGGAACCGCAGCUACGUGUUCUCGUCGUUGGCCACCUCAGCCGUCUCCUUUGCCACAGGAGCACUUGGCAUGUGGAUCCCUCUCUACCUGCACAGAGCACAGGUCGUGCAGAAGACAGCGGAGACCUGCAGCUCACAGCCCUGCGGCACCAAAGAUAGCUUGAUCUUCGGAGCAAUCACAUGCUUCACUGGUUUCCUGGGUGUAAUCACAGGGGCUGGAGCUACCAAAUGGUGCCGGUUAAAAACCCAGCGAGCUGAUCCGCUUGUCUGUGCUGUUGGCAUGCUUGGCUCAGCCAUCUUCAUCUGCCUCAUCUUCGUCGCUGCCAAGAGCAGCAUUGUGGGAGCCUAUAUUUGCAUUUUUAUCGGAGAAACUCUUCUGUUUUCAAACUGGGCCAUCACAGCAGACAUACUAAUGUACGUGGUCAUUCCAACACGCCGUGCAACCGCAGUGGCCUUGCAGAGUUUCACAUCGCACCUCCUGGGAGACGCUGGCAGUCCGUACCUGAUUGGAUUUAUCUCAGACCUGAUACGACAAAGCACAAAGGAGUCCCCAGUCUGGGAGUUCCUCAGCUUGGGGUAUGCACUCAUGCUCUGCCCGUUUGUCGUUGUCCUAGGAGGGAUGUUUUUCCUGGCCACAGCCCUCUUCUUCCUAAGUGACCGAGCCAAAGCUGAACAACAUAAUGAAACCGAUUCGGACCACCUCACGGUUGGCAACUACAGUAAUUCAGAAGACGCUUCCACAUGACAUACAAACUUCUGGGGGUGAAUCAGCUUGUGAUGCCACCAGCCUCUGUGAAAGUCUGAGACGUUGCCAGUGAAGGAAACAACAUGUGGACUCCUGGUCCUACCACCACCACACCAAUCUCAAGCUCAAAGCCCUUCCGUACUGGAAACCAGUGGAUCCUCCAGCUCCACACCCCCCUGGAAGGGUUAUCCAGCACCAGACUGAUCACACCAGUCCAGCCUGCGGGGUCAGGCACCAGGAGAUGAGCAAGGCACCCUGGAACACACGUAACUCUUGAGCAAAAGGACGUUCACAGGUUCCUCUGAGCAUCGGAAGCAACUGGACCCACAAUGUGCUACCCAAGUGAGUGACUGUAGAUUGUGUAUAUGGUUUUAGUUGUAGCCAGCGAAGUCCGCAUCAUUUAUAGGGCAACUUACGUCCUACCGAAUGCUGCUGUUCUGUCAGCACUCCCCCACCCCGAGACUGCACUAUUGGGGACCUAUUCUGUACAUCACCUUUUCUUUAACACUGAAGGCUCAAUUCAGAUUAUUAUUUUUUAUUUAAAUAUGUCAUAAGAUGCUUUAUCUCUGCUGAAGACAUUAGAUUUUAUAUAUAUAUAUAUAUAUAUAUAUUUAGAUAAACAGUUUUUAUUUAAACAUUUAAAAUCUGGAGCUGCCUGUGCAACCAUACCAGACAUGAAUAACAUCCACAGCUCUCCUCAUCUCAGUGCCCCGCUCCCUGGCCCUGCAAGGGCACCAUAGGAAGAGUUCCCGUCGGUGACUCCUGUCACCUAAGGCUGAGCAAUGGGACAGAAGAGAGAGUUUCACUGCACUGGAUGUGCUGGUGGUGGUUGUUACAGAAAGGCCCGGGAGAACUUUGGACAGAAAUACCUAGGGGCUGUAGAGUUUGCACAACAUGCUAAACUCAGGCUUGCCUAGGAGGUUCACAGGUUUUUAAAAUACCAAAAUCCAUCUGGCUGAAUGGCUUUACCUGGGACCUGGUAGUGCAAUCCUGCUGUGCCAGUGACAUCACGUAUUGUUUACAUGCAUAUCACAUCACAUCACAUGUAUUGUCAGUGCUGAUUCUCCCUCUGUCAGUAUUUUCCAAGCAGGUGGCUGAUGCUCCACUGUCACCGUUUCCUUUGGAACAAUGCUGAGGUUCAGUGCCUGCCCAUCCCCAGUCCCAGACUUUUCUCUUUUUCCUGUCUAGAUGUCUCCCACAGUUUAGAUACUCUGCUCCCAUUUAGCACACACUUCAAACAGGUGAAUGCAGCUCACACUUGUGCUUAACAAGUGGCUGCAGGUGUGCUGCAAGUAGGACUAAAUCAGCAAAGAAAAUGCCAAACUGGGACUGGAUGUGAAUUAAGUCUGGCAGCUGGCUGUCUGAUUGUGGCCUAAGUUUGUUCACAGACACAGGAAGGUACCGUUAGUAGCUCUGGGGUUUAUCUCCCAUUCACGUCCAGGAUGUGCUAGGACAGCACUGUAGUGGAGAUGGUCAGUAAUUCCAGGUACCAGUGAACUGGUCAGUACUCACCACAGAACCAGUCUGUGCCCAAGCAGAUGGGUUCUGAGGUGACUCCUGUAACAAUGUGAGCCUUUCCACUUCAUCAGACUCCGCAGAACUCUUCUGCAAAGGUUGCUCUGUCACAUAAAACACCUUAACAAUAGCUUUAAGAUUUGGCUAAACAAUUAGAGCCAGAAAUUUUCCUUGAGUGCCUGGGCAUCCUCUGCAGAACAGCAAGUGGGUGCUAGAAAUAAUAAAGCAAAGCAAAUCCAAAACUGUGCUUCAUUUCCCACCUCGUGCCACUAUUUACAUGUGUAGGGGAAAUACGCCUCUGUAGUCUAGGAGCCAAACACUUGGCUUUAAAGGCACAUGAAUUUCUGAUUCCCAUUAAGAAAUUUCUUAUUAAGCUGUUUAAAAAGAAACAAAAAACAACCUAACAAUCAGUCAUUCCAUCUCAGAGACCAAAGAAGAUUAGCCACAUUUCAUAAGUUGCGUUUAGUGUCAACAAAAUGAAGCAUUCCUGCUCGACUUCAGAGAUUAGGAAUUGUCCUUAACCUUAAUUCUCAGGAGUCAACAAUGAAAGGGAACUUCAGUGUUCUGUAGUUUGGGUAGCUCUCCCUGUUCAUGACAAGCCCCAGCCCUGUUAGAGAAGCACAGCGCAGUUACAGGAGGCCAGCUUUAGCUUUUGGGCAGAGGAAGGAAAUUGCUGUGGCUUUCUUUUUAACGAGGAAAGAGGGAAGGAAGCAAGGGAGGGAGAAGUGAGUCCUACCUGCAGCAGUUUCACACCAAGGGAUCCCCAAAUCCCUGCUCCCAUGUGUUCCAGGCUGAGAGGGAAGCCAAAGCAGAGCUAUGACAGCUCAGAGGAGAGGAACAGAAGGGAAAGCUGAGAUACGUGCUGCUGAGGUGCUGUAUAAACACAUGAUGGUUUGUUUCUGUACUCUAGUAGAGGUCAGAAGUUCCCCAUUAUUAAAGACUUAGAGUACUUUAUUAUACUGGUGCUGGACUAUCAUGCGUGUUUCCUCUAUGACUCCGAUUUAGGCAGGUGUGGAUGUAACCAGGCUCAGAAGCUGUUUGGGCCAGUUGGUUGUUGACUUUGUGGAGCAGUGGAACAAUAUCUGUUAUGCACACAGGAAGUGUUUCUGGAAUGAGAAGUCUAGAAUGAAUGCAUAUUCCUUAUAUCCAAGCUGAGUGAGAACCCUCAUUAAAAUUAGUAUUUCCGUUUUUGUAAAGAAAGGCUGUUAAUAGGAAAAGAUAAUUAAUUUUUAAAAAAAGAAUACACAUAUUUUAGUAUCCAUCACACCAAAUUAAGCAAGAUUCCACCUCAUCACUUAAGUAGAUGUUCAAGUCAUCAGGUAUAUCUUUGUGGUUCUAAACUUCAACACAAAAUUAAAUAGUCCCAAUAAGGACAGAAGUACCUUUAAAGCCACUGAUCUCUUGCACACAAAAUAAUUUCAUGUGAAUGUCUGAAAAUUAGAGGACACAAACAGGAGCUGCUGUGUCUUGCCCCGACUCCCUGGUACCCACUGCCUCACGCUGUUCCUCAGGGCUGCGACGGGUCCUCCCCGGUGCUCUCCCCUUUCACAGCCCAGCAAAGAGAGAACCGCGGCGUGAGUAAACCCUACAAAGGACUGGCUGUACUCUGGGGAGCAGAGUUCCUCUCUGCACCUUCCAUCCUAAUUGUUUGUCUUCUCCGUUUGCUUGAUUGUUUGGUAAAACAGCACUUACGAUCACUUUUGCUACGUGAUGUACGGGAGUAUAUAGUAUAUUUUCUUGUUAUACAAGGGACAAAUAUAAAAUAGUUUUCUGAUUUCUUUCAGAAGCAAAUGACUAUUUUAUUUUUUAAGCGCAAUUGAUUGUGAAUCUCAGAGUAUAAAAACAGAUAAAUAAGCCAAAUAUAUACCUUUAUGUAAAUUAAGAAAUAAAAGUAUUUAAAACAUA